UGUGAUCUCAACGUUAAGUCUACUCCAUGGAAGAUUUCUGUCUUAGAAAAGGAACACUGCAGGCAGAGCCUCCUGAUGGCAUAUUUACAUGUGGGACUCUGGGAGAUGUGGGCCACAGAAAAUGCUGCUUUACCAUCCAGUGGAAACUGGAAUUCAAAGGGGAAGGCAUUAACCUUGGAUGCACAGAGAAUGGCUCCAGUGAAGUGUGAGGAGAGAGGAGACUGGGUGUGCCCUGGUACCUGGAAGAUCUCACGGUUUGGAAACUCCUGGGCUCAGUCUCCUGGGCUGGACCAUCCCCCAGGAGCUCCCUGUUAACAAAUGAAUGUGUGUGAGCACAUGGCAUUGUGAAAGAGAGUUGUGGAGUUUACAAAGUAAUUUGUCAUAGGUAUUUCAGCCACCAUGACAGUUUGGUGGUAACAAAUACUGCUUACAAAAAUUUUCCUCAUUAUAAACUUCACCCCACAAAUCAAACUUUGGAGUAGGUACUAGAAUGCGGACUGUACCCAAGAGUGUACUUCAUCCCAGGGGGUCUUGUCUAAGACCUGCCCAGAAUCACAUGGCUCAUCUGUCCAGCAAAGGCUUGAAGCCGUGUCUCCCUGCUUCAAGUUCUGUCCUGAAUUGCUGAGCGGUUGGAAAAUCUGAGUUGCUGAAAAUCUGUGUGAGGGAACAAGGGAAGCAGGAGGCAGGAGGUGAAGAGAUGGGUACUUGGCUUUCUCCAGAGGCAGGGAAUCUGACUUACCCUGAUUCACCCUAUCUAUUCACACAGGUAACAGCAGGAGAGAAACACAGGGAUGAAGAACUUGAGAACUGUGUCUUAAACACACCCGGUCCCUCCCUUCCUUAGUCACCUACCAACAGAGAUCAUGCUCACAAGAAGUCUAACUGGUACCACCACCCGAUCAUCAACCUACGCCUGCACAUGCUGUUCUCUUCAUUGCUGGGAUAUCUGCUGCUAAGAAGAAAAAUGGGGAAGAGCACUGAAUGCAAUAGAUAAGCUGAUGAGAAGGAACCUCUUUAACAUAUGAACUGGCAACCAGAGAGCCCUUCAGUCUGUCACUUGACACCCUUAGCCUGAAAGUGUAUGCUAAACAUCCUCAGAAAACACUAGCCUUCUGCCUAGCAAAUAUGACAAAAUAGCUUAGAUGCCUCUAAGUUUCAAAUGAUAGGCUCUUACUGAUUUCAUUGGCCAUGCAAAAGAGCAUGGACCAUAGGGCGAGGGCCUGGACAGAAUGGACAUACACAAAAUUUCAUUAAAAUGGGAAAUACAACCCAGACCCAGCAUAAUGAUUUUUCUCCAGGCUACUGUUGCUCACUACCUCUUCAAUACAUUAGAAAAUAUUAGGUGAACAGAUUUGUAGCUUAGAACCCUCUGCUCUUCUUUGGCUAUUCACCACAUUGUAAUGGGAUGCCUAUUUAUACCAAAGAAAUAGCCUGUAUGCAUAGUAAUGUGCAUGGAAUCUGUCCCAGGACAGCAGAAGCCAAAUUAUCCUUCUCUUGUCUUUAUACAGUAAGAAUCCCUUCUGGAUCUCAUAAACGCUCCUACUUUAUAUUAUUUAUAUACUUUAGCAAAUACUGCCUGUUAUCAUGGACAAUUUUGUUUGAAAAUCGGCAAUUAAAAAGAGAGUACACCUGCUCUGAACACCAA